AGCGAACGCUGGCGGCAGGCCUAACACAUGCAAGUCGAACGAACCUUUCGGGGUUAGUGGCGGUUGGGUGAGUAACACGUGGGAACGUGCCUUUAGGUUCGGAAUAACUCAGUGUAACUUGUGCUAAUACCGAAUGUGCUCCUCUGGGGAAAGAUUUAUCGCCUUUAGGGCGGCCCGCGUCUGAUUAGCUAGUUGGUUGUGGUUAUGGCUCAUCAAGGCUAGGAUCUGUAGCUGGUCUGGGAGGAGGAUCAGCCACAUUGGAAGUGAGACACGGCCCGAAAUCCUACGGGAGGGGGGAGAGGGGGAUCUAGCGAAAUGGGGUAAAGGAAGACGCAGCCAGGGCGGGUAAAUGAUGAAGGUGGGAGGAAAGUAAAAUUGGUUCACAGGGGACGAUAAUGACGGUACCCGGAGAAGAAGCACCGGCUAACUUCGUG
rnacentral:rRNA from 1 species